rnacentral:rRNA from 1 species
UCGGGAAUUUUGGGCAAUGGGCGCAAGCCUGAUCCAGCCAUGCCGCGUGAGUGACGAAGGUCUUCGGAUUGUAAAGCUCUUUUGGCGGGGACGAUAAUGACGGUACCCGCAGAAUAAGCCCCGGCUAACUUCGUGCCAGCAGCCGCGGUAAUACGAAGGGGGCUAGCGUUGUUCGGAAUUACUGGGCGUAAAGCGCACGUAGGCGGACUGAUAAGUCAGGGGUGAAAUCCCGGGGCUCAACCUCGGAACUGCCUUUGAUACUGUUAGUCUCGAGUCCGGAAGAGGUGAGUGGAAUUCCUAGUGUAGAGGUGAAAUUCGUAGAUAUUAGGAAGAACACCAGUGGCGAAGGCGGCUCACUGGUCCGGUACUGACGCUGAGGUGCGAAAGCGUGGGGAGCAAACAGGAUUAGAUACCCCCGUAGUCCCUGAGCGGGCUGGCAAGGCGCAU